UACGGAGGGUGCAAGCGUUGUUCGGAAUUAUUGGGCGUAAAGCGCGUGUAGGCGGCUAUUUAAGUCUGAUGUGAAAGCCCGGGGCUCAACCUCGGAAGUGCAUUGGAAACUGGAUAGCUUGAGUGCAGGAGAGGAGAGUGGAAUUCCUAGUGUAGCGGUGAAAUGCGUAGAUAUUCGAAGGAACACCGGUGGCGAAGGCGGCUACCUGGACCGAUACUGACGCUGAGACGCGAAAGCGUGGGGAG
rnacentral:rRNA from 1 species